rnacentral:rRNA from 1 species
AUACGUAGGGGGCGAGCGUUGUCCGGAAUGAUUGGGCGUAAAGGGCGCGUAGGCGGCGCGGUAAGUCUGGAGUGAAAGUCCUGCUUUCAAGGUGGGAAUUGCUUUGGAUACUGCCGCGCUUGAGUGCAGGAGAGGGUAUCGGAAUUCCCGGUGUAGCGGUGAAAUGCGUAGAGAUCGGGAGGAACACCAGUGGCGAAGGCGGGUAACUGGACUGCAACUGGCGCUGAGGCGCGAAAGUGUGGGGAGCAAACAGGAUUAGAUACCCUGGUAGUCCACACUGUAAACGAUGAAUGCUAGGUGUAAGAGGUAUCGACCCCUUUUGUGCCGGAGUCAACACAAUAAGCAUUCCGCCUGGGGAGUACGGCCGCAAGGUUGAAACUCAAAUGAAUUGACGGGG